rnacentral:rRNA from 1 species
CCUACGGGAGGCAGCAGUGGGGAAUCUUGGUCAAUGGGCGCAAGCCUGAACCAGCGAUGCCGCGUGAGUGAUGAAGGCCUUCGGGUUGUAAAGCUCUGUGGGGCGAGACGCGGUAUCGCCUUAGCAAGCACCGGCUAACUCUGUGCCAGCAGCCGCGGUAAGACAGAGGGUGCAAACGUUGCUCGGAAUCACUGGGCGUAAAGGGCGUGUAGGCGGGAGAGAAAGUCGGGCGUGAAAUCCCUAGGCUCAACCUAGGAACUGCACUCGAAACUUCUUUUCUUGAGUGCCGGAGAGGAAAGCGGAAUUCCUGGUGUAGAGGUGAAAUUCGUAGAUAUCAGGAGGAACACCAGUGGCGAAGGCGGCUUUCUGGACGGUACUGACGCUGAGACGCGAAAGCGUGGGGAGCAAACAGGAUUAGAUACCCUUGUAGUC